GAUGAACGCUGGCGGCGUGCCUAAUACAUGCAAGUCGAGCGAACGGACGAGAAGCUUGCUUCUCUGAUGUUAGCGGCGGACGGGUGAGUAACACGUGGAUAACCUACCUAUAAGACUGGGAUAACUUCGGGAAACCGGAGCUAAUACCGGGUAAUAUUUUGAACCGCAUGGUUCAAAAGUGAAAGACGGUCUUGCUGUCACUUAUAGAUGGAUCCGCGCUGCAUUAGCUAGUUGGUAAGGUAACGGCUUACCAAGGCAACGAUGCAUAGCCGACCUGAGAGGGUGAUCGGCCACACUGGAACUGAGCCACGGUCCAGACUCCUACGGGAGGCAGCAGUAGGGAAUCGUCCGCGAUGGGCGAAAGCCUGACGGAGCAACGCCGCGUGAGUGAUGAAGGUCUUCGGAUCGUAAAACUCUGUUAUUAGGGAAGAACAUAUGUGUAAGUAACUGUGCACAUCUUGACGGUACCUAAUCAGAAAGCCACGGCUAACUACGUG
rnacentral:rRNA from 1 species